CUCACAUGGCUUUGGUCACCCCGAGUUUAUAGUAAAAGACACUUGCCCAAGAUGGAGAAAUGGCUGCCAUCGGCCGAGCAAAUGUCCGUGAAAGAAGACAACUCGAAAGACUGACCUGUCCAAGCUAAUAUUUGUACACACCUCCACCUGGACACAUCCACGCAGAACUAAUCACAACACUAAUUAUAUAAAUAUUUAUAUAUAUAUAUAUAUGUAUGUAUAUACAUACACACAUCAACACUAACACAGACACACACACACGUAUAUACACACAUAUUAUCAUAUAUAUUUAUAUAUAUAUCCAGUUGGUGUGUAUUCUACAUCGGCUAUCAAUCUAUAUUUAAUCAGAGACACAAAAGGAAACCACGCGAGGACGAACCAACGACCCAUGCAAACAAACGAAAUUUUCCCUCAAUAUCGCCCAAGUUGUAACUAGAAAUGCUUAUCUACUUGAUGUACCUUAACGGGUACAUCCAGAUCCCUAGCCUGAGCGAGUCUCAACCGCUUCUUCAACCACCGCCUCCUUCUCCUUUUCCUUUUCCAUCUUAUUGAUGCAGUCAUCCUGUAAAUACUGAUAUUAUCAAUGCAAUUCAACGUUUGUAUUCUUUUGGAUAGAUUACAUGAAAAUAUCAAAUAUAUCACAUGAUAUUUACUGUACAAGCUUCAAUGAUUCAAUGAUAGAAUGGUCAAAGAAUAAAUAUCAUUAUACACCAAUCUAAUACGAUAAUUUAUCCGAUGUUGGUAUAGUCCACUUGUUCAACGUGUAUUGUGUUAUUAGCUAUUUCAAAGAGUGUCCUUCGGUCUGGUAGGUCACCGAGUCAGUUUGUCAUUUAAUUCCAUCUGUAGUUGAAAUCAACGUGGGUAGUUGCUGGAGUUGUUACCGGGGAAAAAAAAACAAACAACAGCAACAAAAGCAAGGACAAUAGUAGCGGCAUCAAGAAUAAUAACAACAGUAGCAACAACGGUAAAGGCGUCACGACCUGCCAGAAAUAGCAGCCAAAUUCUCUGGAAUUACAUUCCGGUAUUGUCUCUUUCUCAUUAUAAAAAUCAGGAAGAAAAUAUUGCAGAAUGUCGUAGAUAUGCAGACUGACAGGAUGCUCAUGGCUGGAGUGUCUUUCAUGCAUCAGCCAGAUAAGCUAGGGCUGGCCUGGGAUUAAACAGCACCACCA